rnacentral:sRNA from 1 species
AUGGAGCAGGAUGAAAGUAGUGAAAGUGAAAAUGAAGUUUACUCAGUUUUUCAUUUUGGAAAUAAAUCUAAUGAGGCAUACAAAGUGCAAAUCAAUGUAAAUGAAUGUGAAAUAGCCAUGGAAAUAGAUACCGGAGCGUCAGUUUCUAUCAUGAGCGAGGAUACUUACAAGGAAUACAAGUCGAAAUUCAGAAUCGAACCGACAAGUGCUAAACUCCGAACAUACAUGGGAGAGCAGAUUCCUGUAAUAGGACGUGCAAUCGUCAAUGUCAAUUACAAAAAGGAAAGCGCAAAAUUACCAUUACUGAUAGUGAAGCGUAAAGGUCCGAAUUUACUUGGCCGAGACUGGUUGAACAAACUCCAACUGGAUUGGAAGGAUAUUUUCUCCGUCGUUGGAAGUGAUAAUCAAUCAAGUGAUUUGAAUGUGAUCUUGGAAGCAAAUAAGGAGGUUUUCAAAGAUGAACUUGGAACUGUAAAAGGCAUGAAAGCCAAGAUUUAUGUUGAUGAGAGUGCCGUACCGAAAUAUUUCAAGGCUCGCCCUUUGCCGUAUGCGUUGAAGGAUAAAGUGGAGAUGGAACUUGAACGUCUUGAGAAGGAGGGUCAGAUUCAGCAAGUGGAAUUUUCCGACUGGGCCGCUCCGAUAGUACCUGUAGUUAAGGAGAACGGAUCUAUUAGAAUUUGUGGUGACUACAAGGUAACCGUUAAUGCCGUUUCAAAGUUGGAUAAUUAUCCUAUUCCUAAAACAGAGGAUUUAUACGCAACGCUUGGAGGAGGACAAGAAUAUACAAAAUUGGAUUUAAACCAAGCAUAUCAACAGAUUGAACUUGAUGAGGACAGUAAGAGGUAUGUGACUAUAAACACGCAUAAGGGUUUAUUCAGAUACAAUAGACUUCCGUAUGGUGUAGCGUCCAGCCCAGGUAUUUUCCAAAGAACACUUGAAAAUGUUGUUCAAGGUAUAGCCAAUGUUUUGGUUCGAGUAGAUGAUAUACUGAUAACGGGUAAAACAAGGGAGGAACAUCUUAAUACUCUUUCUGAGGUAUUGUCUAGAUUUAAGAGAAUCGGAAUUCGGUUAAAGAAACAGAAGUGUGUGUUCAUGGCCGAAGAAGUUGUUUAUUUGGGAUUUAAAAUAAACAAACACGGAAUAUAUCCAGUUGAGAGUAAAGUUGAGGCGAUCGAUAAAGCACCAAGUCCGACAAACGUGACAGAACUGAAAGCUUAUCUUGGAAUGCUGAACUAUUACAAUAGAUUCUUAGCGAAUUUGUCUCACUUGUUAAAGCCGCUACAUGUACUUCUACAGAAAGACACAAAAUGGAGUUGGGAAAAAGAACAGGAAAAAGCGUUCAUAGAGUCAAAACAGCUGUUGAAAUCCGCAUCAGUACUUGUACAUUUCGAUCCGAAAAAGAAAUUAAUAUUAGCAUGUGAUGCAUCACCAUAUGGAUUAGGCGCCGUACUUUCGCAUAAAAUGGACGACGGCAGCGACAAACCAAUAGCUUAUACAUCUCGAACACUUACAUCAGCAGAGAAGAAUUAUUCCGUUCUUGAGAAGGAGAGUCUGGCCAUAAUAUUUGGUAUCAAGAAAUUUCAUCAAUAUUUGUAUGGACACCCCGUUACAAUCAUAACCGAUCACAAGCCGCUCAUAGGUUUAUUUCGAGAAGAUAAACCUAUACCUACAAUGGCCGCAUCUCGAAUUCAAAGGUGGGCACUGACUUUAGCUGCAUAUGAGUACACGAUUGUAUACAAAGAAGGGAGUUUGAAUGGUAAUGCGGAUGGACUAAGUAGACUACCGCUGAAAACAAACAUUGAAAAGACACCAACGCCAGGUGAUACUAUAUUAUUAAUGGAACAUUUAGCCACUACGCCAGUUGAUGCUAAACAAAUUCAAAAGUGGACACGCAAGGACACAAUACUGUCUAUGGUGCUUAGAUACAUUUUGAAUGGAUGGCCGUCAAAAUGUCCCAGUGAAGACAUAAAACCGUAUUAUAGUAGAAAAAAUGAACUGUGUAGUCAGGACGGAUGCAUAUUGUGGGGAGGAAGAGUAAUUAUACCACAACCAGGACGUGAAGCCAUGUUAAAUGAAUUACACCAAGGACAUCCAGGGAUUACUAGAAUGAAAAGUCUAGCAAGAAGCUAUAUAUGGUGGCCGGGAAUGGACAAUGACUUGGAAUUAACUGUAGUUAAUUGUUACAGUUGUCAGGAAAACCGCAAGUUACCAGCAGAAGCGCCGUUACAUCCGUGGGAAUAUCCGAGCCAUCCGUGGUCAAGAAUACACAUAGACUUUGCAGGACCAUUUAUGAACAAAUCAUUUCUAAUUAUGGUUGAUGCGUAUUCAAAAUGGAUAGACAUACACGUUAUGAAUUCUACAACAUCCGAAGCUACGAUUGCAAAACUUCAACAAACGUUUGCAACACAUGGAUUAUGUGAUAUUAUUAGUGAUAAUGGAGCCGCAUUUACUAGUAAGGAAUUCGCCGAUUAUGUGAAAUCAAAUGGAAUUGAACAUCGCACUUCCGCGCCGUGGCAUCCAGCUAGUAAUGGUUGUGCUGAACGAGCAGUUCAGAGUUUCAAAGAAGGAAUGAAGAAAAUCAAAGAAGGAACUAUCCAGGAAAAGUUGAACCGUUUUCUUUUCAACUACCGUAUUACGCCACAAACAACGACAGGACUGGCACCGUCAGAAUUGCUAAUGAAAAGGAAACUCAAGUCACGUCUAGAUUUAGUUUUUCCAAAUAUCGAGAAGCGAGUUCAGGAGAGACAACAAAAACAGAAACAUUAUCACGAUAAGAAAUCUGUGAACAGACAAAUUAAUGUAGGACAGGGAGUAUUUGCCCGAAAUUUCGCAAUUGGUUCAAAGAUUAAAUGGAUUCCAGGAGAAGUUAUAAAACAAUCAGGACCACUUUCAUUUCAUAUUAAAUUGCAAGAUGGACGUGUCAUUCGUAGACAUAUUGACCACAUCAGAGUACGAAACUUCGAUUGCACAAACAACGAAAAUGAAGAAAAAUGUGACAAUGACAGUGAUUUGUUUGAGCCAGAAAUAACUAUACCGAUAAGUACUCCUGAGACCGAACAACCGCAAAUCGAGAAACCGUCAAACAUGACUGAACAAAUGGAACCACGCUAUCCGAAGAGAAUAAGAAAAAGAACAUCGCAUUUAGAAGGAAAUCAACAAACAACCCAAAUCGAAAUAAAAAAGAAAUUUAACAGAAAUCGCUCAAAAUUUACAAUAAUUUAGUUUAAGUACAGCUAAUAUGGAAAUAAUAUUAAAAAAUAUAGGUCACCGAUGAGUUAAAAAAGAUAUUUCAAUUUUAAAGCCAAAAAAUGGAUUUUUCCACCAAAGGGAGAUAAUUUGGAACUUUUUCGCUAUCUCGAAUGAAGAGUACCAUAAUAAGUAACAACUACAAAAGGUAACAUUUGAAAUGCAAAUGUUUAUUUUUUCUGAAAUUUAAACCCUCACUUAAAGGAUUUUGUGUUGAAAAUAAAUGGUUGAUUUAUGAAGAGGCAUAAUAAUCCUCAACACCGUUUGAAGUGCAUUAAGUACUUCGCAGUGCAUGUGUGUACAUAUCAAUUAGUGUAAGAAAUAACAACAAGACCAGUGCGAACAUUUUUAUUUUUAUUUUCAUAGUAGGACAUUAUAG